rnacentral:tRNA from 1 species
GGAUACGUUGUAGAGUGGUUUCUGCGCGGGUUUGCAACAUCUGAGACGUCAGUUCGAGUCUGACCGUAUCCU